AAUGAUAUACACAAUGAAGCUCUGACUUAUACCACCACUGAGGGUUGGUCGGUACAGCAGGAGGAUCUCGUGGAGUUAUCAGCUUCCUAUCGAUCAAGGAAGGAUAAAUUUCAUCAUAUGUCAUCGGAAUCGGGUCAAAAGUUACCCUUUUCCUCUCGUAGUUGAUGGUGCUGGUGUUAUUGUUGUUGCGAGGCUGUUAGGCCUGUUGUUGUUGAUGAUG
rnacentral:lncRNA from 1 species